rnacentral:piRNA from 1 species
UCACUGAAUUUCAGCCUGCACUCUGUGUC